CUUUUCAACGGCCCUUUAAUUCCCUAUAUUCAUUAUGCCGGUUCGCCGGCUAUGGCGAUAAACGCUGUACGGAAUAAGCGUUACGGACCCGGGGGCAGUACCCGGCGCCUCCACCAAUAAUUCCGCCGGCAGGCGGGCCUUUAAGGGGGCGAAACAGGAUCGACGUGCGUGGUAAAGGUGCGGUUUUUGCUCGGCAUGGCGCCACCGUUAUCGGGCCAAACCUAGAAAUGCCAACGAUAAUGAGGCAUUUGCCGCAGCCGCUUAAUUGCGAACUGUGACGGGGCACGGGGGGCGCCUGGCAACAGAAGCCCCCCAC
rnacentral:tmRNA from 1 species